rnacentral:pre_miRNA from 1 species
GUAAUACUCCCUCCGUUCCGAAUUACUUGUCGCAUGUAUGGAUGUAUCUAGAUGUAUAUUAGUUCUAAAUACAUCCAUUUCUGCGACGAAUAAUUUGGAACGGAGGGAGUAACUA